UCCGGGAUCGUCUAAUUGGCAGGACGACUGUUUUUGGUGCAGUUAAGUGGGGGUUCGAAUCCUCCUCCCGGAG
rnacentral:tRNA from 2 species